UACGGAGGGUGCGAGCGUUGUCCGGAUUUAUUGGGUUUAAAGGGUGCGCAGGUGGCCUGGUCAGUCAGUGGUGAAAUGCGGUCGCUCAACGAUCGAACUGCCAUUGAUACUGCCGGGCUUGAGACAAGUGGAGGCUGCCGGAACGGACGGUGUAGCGGUGAAAUGCAUAGAUAUCGUCCAGAACGCCGAUUGCGAAGGCAGGUGGCUACGCUUGGACUGACACUGAGGCACGAAAGCGUGGGGAGCGAACAGG
rnacentral:rRNA from 1 species